rnacentral:tRNA from 1 species
UCCCUGAUAGCUCAGUUGGUAAAGAAUCUGCCUGCAAUGCAGGAGACCCUGAUUCAAUUCCUGGGUGGGGAA